rnacentral:tmRNA from 1 species
GGGGAUGUAACGGUUUCGACGGGGGUGCGGAGGCAGAAAUAGCGGGCGGAUGCGCCUGACAUCCAUAAAACGGGCAACCUUUUAUAAAUUAAAGAACAAUAACGAUACUGUUCUUCUCGCUGCUUAAUUAGCGAGCGUUCCGCCUGAGAGGACCACGGCUUGGGACGGGGCGUCGACGAGUGGUGAACGUGAGCGCGGUAAGCUUUGCCCGCGCCACGCAUAAUGAAGCUACCAAGACGAUGAGUGUGACGGCUCACGCUUCGCCGAGGGAAUCCAAAUAACCGCCUGCGCCCGGAGAAGUUUCUGUUAAUGUGCUUUCGGACAGGGGUUCAACUCCCCUCAUCUCCAUC